GACGAACGCUGGCGGCGUGCUUAACACAUGCAAGUCGAACGAUGACGCCCGACCUUGCUCGGUCUGAUUAGUGGCGAACGGGUGAGUAACACGUGAGCAACCUGCCCUUCACUCUGGGAUAACCUCGGGAAAUCGGGGCUAUUACCGGAUAUGAGCUCCUGUCGCUUGGUGGGCGUUGGAAAGUUUCUCGGUUUGGGUUGGGCUCGCGGCGUUUCCGUUUGUUGGUGUGGUAGUGGCUCACCAAGGCGAUGCCGGGUUGCCGGCCUGGGAGGGCGUCCGGCCACACUGGGACUGAGACACGGACCAGACUCCUACGGGAGGCAGAAGUGGGGAAUAUUGCACAAUGGGCGGAAGCCUGAUGCAGCGACGCCGCGUGAGGGAUGACGGCCUUCGGGUUGUAAACCACUUUCAGCAGGGAAGAAGCGAAAGUGACGGUACCGGGAGAAGAAGCGCCGGCUAACUACGUG
rnacentral:rRNA from 1 species